rnacentral:rRNA from 1 species
CCUACGGGGUGCAGCAGUGAGGAAUAUUGGUCAAUGGGCGAGGGUCUGAACCAGCCAAGUCGCGUGAAGGAUGACUGCCCUAUGGGUUGUAAACUUCUUUUAUAUGGGAAUAAAAUGUUCCACGUGUGGGCUUUUGUGUGUACCUUAUGAAUAAGUAUCGGCUAACUCCUUGCCAGCAGCCGCGGUAAUACGGAGGAUCCGAGCGUUAUCCGGCUUGAUUGGGUUUAAAGGGGGCGUAGGUGGAUUGUUAAGUCAGUUGUGAAAGUUUGAGGCUCAACCGUAGAAUUGCAGUUGAAACUGGCAGUCUUGAGUACAGUAGAGGUGGGCGGAAUUCGUGGUAUAGCGGUGAAAUGCUUAGAUAUCACGAAGAACCCCGAUUGCGAAGGCAGCUUACUGGACUGUAACUGACACUGAGGCACGAAAGUGUGGGUAUCAAACAGGAUUAGAUACCCUGGUAGUC